AGAGUUUGAUCCUGGCUCAGAACGAACGCUGGCGGCGCGUCUUAAGCAUGCAAGUCGAACGGCAAGAGAGAAGCUUGCUUCUCUCCUAGAGUGGCGGACUGGUGAGGAACACGUGGGUAAUCUACCCUUAAGAUGGGGAUAGCUGCUAGAAAUAGCAGGUAAUACCGAAUACACUCGGCAUAUCACAAGAGAUGUUGAGGAAAGGAAGCUACGGCUUCGCUUGAGGAUGAGCUUGCGUCCCAUUAGCUAGUUGGUGAGGUAAAGGCCCACCAAGGCGACGAUGGGUAUCCGGCCUGAGAGGGUGAACGGACACAUUGGGACUGAGAUACGGCCCAAACUCCUACGGGAGGCAGCAGCUAAGAAUAUUCCGCAAUGGACGAAAGUCUGACGGAGCGACGCCGCGUGGAUGAAGAAGGCUGAAAAGUUGUAAAAUCCUUUUGUUGAUGAAGAAUAAGGGGAAGAGGGAAUGCUUCUCUGAUGACGGUAAUCAGCGAAUAAGCCCCGGCUAAUUACGUGCCAGCAGCCGCGGUAACACGUAAGGGGCGAGCGUUGUUCGGAAUUAUUGGGCGUAAAGGGCAUGUAGGCGGCUAUGUAAGCCUGAUGUGAAAUCCUGGGGCUUAACCCUAGAAUAGCAUUGGGUACUGUGUAGCUUGAAUUACGGAAGGGAAACUGGAAUUCCAAGUGUAGGGGUGGAAUCUGUAGAUAUUUGGAAGAACACCGGUGGCGAAGGCGGGUUUCUGGCCGAUAAUUGACGCUGAGAUGCGAAAGUGUGGGGAUCGAACAGGAUUAGAUACCCUGGUAGUCCACACUGUAAACGAUGUACACUAGGUGUUGGGGCAAGAGCUUCAGUGCCAAAGCAAACGCGAUAAGUGUACCGCCUGGGGAGUAUGCCCGCAAGGGUGAAACUCA
rnacentral:rRNA from 1 species